rnacentral:rRNA from 13 species
GAACGCUGGCGGCGUGCUUAACACAUGCAAGUCGAACGGUAACAGGAAGAGCUUGCUCUUCGCUGACGAGUGGCGCACGGGUGCGUAACGCGUAUGCAACCUACCUCAAACUGGGAGAUAGCCCGAAGAAAUUCGGAUUAAUACCCCAUAGUAAUACAUUUUGGCAUCUUUAUGUAUUUAAAGUUUCGGCGGUUUGAGAUGGGCAUGCGUCCCAUUAGUUUGUUGGUGAGGUAACGGCUCACCAAGGCUACGAUCUAUAGCUGGUCUGAGAGGAUGAUCAGCCACACUGGGACUGAGACACGGCCCAGACUCCUACGGGAGGCAGCAGUGGGGAAUCUUGGACAAUGGGCGCAAGCCUGAUCCAGCCAUGCCGCGUGAGUGAUGAAGGCCUUAGGGUCGUAAAGCUCUUUCGCCAGGGAUGAUAAUGACAGUACCUGGUAAAGAAACCCCGGCUAACUCCGUGCCAGCAGCCGCGGUAAUACGGAGGGGGUUAGCGUUGUUCGGAAUUACUGGGCGUAAAGCGCACGUAGGCGGACUUUUAAGUCAGAUGUGAAAUCCCGAGGCUCAACCUCGGAACUGCAUUUGAAACUGGGAGUCUAGAGAUCAGGAGAGGUUAGUGGAAUACCGAGUGUAGAGGUGAAAUUCGUAGAUAUUCGGAGGAACACCAGUGGCGAAGGCGGCUCACUGGCUCGAUACUGACGCUGAGGUACGAAAGUGUGGGGAGCAAACAGGAUUAGAUACCCUGGUAGUCCACACCGUAAACGAUG